rnacentral:rRNA from 1 species
CCUACGGGGUGCAGCAGUGGGGAAUAUUGCACAAUGGGGGAAACCCUGAUGCAGCGACGCCGCGUGAAGGAAGACGUCUUUAGGUAUGUAAACUUCCAUCAGCAGGGAAGAAAAUGACGGUACCUGUCUAAGAAGCCCCGGCUAAUUACGAGCCAGCAGCCGCGGCAACACGUAGGCGGCAAGCGUUAUCCGGAUUUACUGGGUGUAAAGGGAGCGUAGGCGGUGCAGCAAGUCAGAAGUGAAAGCCCGGGGCUCAACUCCGGGACUGCUUUUGAUACUGUUGAACUAGAUUGCAGGAGAGGUAAGUGGAAUUCCUAGUGUAGCGGUGAAAUGCGUAGAUAUUAGGAAGAACACCAGUGGCGAAGGCAGUUCACUGGACUGCAACUGACACUGAGGCUCGAAAGUGUGGGUAUCAAACAGGAUUAGAUACCCCGGUAGUC